GAAGGGCUUUAUCAUAAUAAAUCAUAGUGAUGGUGAUAGAUUCAAAAUGAGGAAGAGAAGGAUAGGUCAUUGGAGACUUGGCCUUUUAUGCAUCACUAAUGUGGUGGGUCUCUUGGCACUUUUGGCAGUUUUUUCAUCGCUAAGUUGAUUUGAUGAUGGCGGGGUCAAAUCUGAAUCCUUCUUUACAAGUCAACUAUUCUUUAUCAUCGACAGAAAUUGAUGUCUAUUGUCGCUAAACCUCCACUAGUCACCAACAAUUUUUAUUGAAAAUUGGGUUGGUCAUAGAUAUUCAAUUGGUGGCUCUUCAUUGGCUCCUUGAUCUACAAUUUUGAGGGUAUUUAAUAACAAUGAUUGAUUUCACGAGAUUUGGAUUUGUAUUGUUUUAAGCCUGAUAUGUUUUUUGUUGUUUUCCUUUAUUUAACAAGUCUUUUGCUUUUUCUAAUGAAAAUGUUGGAAGUUUUAUUUUUCUUUUCCUAUACAAGUUUUUUUCAUACUUUUGUAAGUAAUCUUACUUAUACAAGUAUUUUUGGGAUGGAUUUGUUUCCAUCCUCUUCAGUUGGUGGAUGCUCGGUUUUCUUGUUGAUUCUUCCCAUCGUUUUGGACCUCUCGAGCUGGUUCUCUUAUCGUGUUUGGUGCUUACAAUCACCCUAAACAUGUCAUGUUUGAGUUGUAAUAGAGCCAGUUAUCAAAAUGUUAUAAUUGUUCUAUUGUUGCUAAGGCUGAAGCCUUUGCUCAUGUUGAUAAAGCUUGUCCUUCAUUUCCAACAAUAACUGUGUGUUGUAUCUUUAUUUUUCCUUGCAUUGCAUCUCAUUCAUGGAAUAAAUAAUUUAAUUUUCCUUUUAAAAAACUUGUAUUGAUCAA